rnacentral:rRNA from 1 species
AUUGAACGCUGGCGGCAGGCCUAACACAUGCAAGUCGAACGGUAACAGGAAGAAGCUUGCUUCUUUGCUGACGAGUGGCGGACGGGUGAGUAAUGUCUGGGAAACUGCCUGAUGGAGGGGGAUAACUACUGGAAACGGUAGCUAAUACCGCAUAACGUCGCAAGACCAAAGAGGGGGACCUUCGGGCCUCUUGCCAUCGGAUGUGCCCAGAUGGGAUUAGCUAGUAGGUGGGGUAACGGCUCACCUAGGCGACGAUCCCUAGCUGGUCUGAGAGGAUGACCAGCCACACUGGAACUGAGACACGGUCCAGACUCCUACGGGAGGCAGCAGUGGGGAAUAUUGCACAAUGGGCGCAAGCCUGAUGCAGCCAUGCCGCGUGUAUGAAGAAGGCCUUCGGGUUGUAAUGUACUUUCAGCGGGGAGGAAGGGAGUAAAGUUAAUACCUUUACUCAUUGACGUUACCCGCAGAAGAAGCACCGGCUAACUCCGUG